GAUGAACGCUAGCUACAGGCUUAACACAUGCAAGUCGAGGGGCAUCAGGAACAUAGCUUGCUAUGUUUGCUGGCGACCGGCGCACGGGUGCGUAACACGUAUCCAAUCUGCCCGUUACUCGGGGAUAGCCUUUCGAAAGAAAGAUUAAUACCCGAUGGUAUUACGAUGAGGCAUCUCAUUAUACUUAAAGAUUUAUCGGUAACGGAUGAGGAUGCGUAUGAUUAGUUAGUUGGCGGGGUAACGGCCCACCAAGACUACGAUCAUUAGGGGUUCUGAGAGGAAGGUCCCCCACACUGGAACUGAGACACGGUCCAGACUCCUACGGGAGGCAGCAGUGAGGAAUAUUGGUCAAUGGACGAGAGUCUGAACCAGCCAAGUAGCGUGAAGGAUGACUGCCCUAUGGGUUGUAAACUUCUUUUGUUUGGGAAUAAAGUUAGGUACGUGUACCUAUUUGUAUGUACCAUUCGAAUAAGCAUCGGCUAAUUCCGUGCCAGCAGCCGCCGUAACAC
rnacentral:rRNA from 1 species